UGUAGGAGUGAGCCUGCUCGCGAUAGCGGUGUGUCGGUUGGUUAAUUGGUGCCUGACACACCGCUAUCGCGAGCAGGCUCACUCCUAUA
rnacentral:misc_RNA from 1 species